ACGCUGGCGGCACGCCUAAUACAUGCAAGUCGAACGGGGUAGCAAUACCCAGUGGCAGACGGGUGAGUAACAUGUGGGUACCUUCCCUUUGGUGAGGAAUAACACGAGGAAACUUGUGCUAAUACCUCAUAAGUCUUUACGGAGAAAGCUUUAUGCGCCAAUGGAUGGGCCCGCACUUGAUUAGUUAGUUGGUAGGGUAAUGGCUUACCAAGACUUUGAUCAAUAGCUGAUUUGAGAGGAUGAUCAGCCACAUUGGGACUGAGACACGGCCCAAACUCCUACGGGAGGCAGCAGUAGGGAAUCUUGCACAAUGGAGGAAACUCUGAUGCAGCGAUGCCGCGUGAGUGAAGAAGGCCCUUGGGUUGUAAAGCUCUUUCGUCGGGGAAGAAAAUGACUGUACCCGAAUAAGAAGGUCCGGCUAACUUCGUGCCAGCAGCCGCGGUAAUACGAAGGGACCUAGCGUAGUUCGGAAUUACUGGGCUUAAAGAGUUCGUAGGUGGUUAAAAAAGUUGGUGGUGAAAUCCCAGAGCUUAACUCUGGAACUGCCAUCAAAACUUUUUAGCUAGAGUAUGAUAGAGGAAAGCAGAAUUUCUAGUGUAGAGGUGAAAUUCGUAGAUAUUAGAAAGAAUACCGAUUGCGAAGGCAGCUUUCUGGAUCAUUACUGACACUGAGGAACGAAAGCAUGGGUAGCGAAGAGGAUUAGAUACCCUCGUAGUCCAUGCCGUAAACGAUGUGUGUUAGAUGUUGGAAAUUUAUUUUCAGUAUCGCAGCGAAAGCGUUAAACACACCGCCUGGGGAGUACGACCGCA
rnacentral:rRNA from 1 species